AUCCUCCUCCCUUUCCUCGGGCCGUCUAGGGUACGCCCCCGCAAGCUUAGCGCAUUGAAUGAAGGCUAAGCUGCGAGCGUCGUUCUCUGAAUGGCUGAGGAGACGAGAGAGAGAU
rnacentral:pre_miRNA from 1 species